rnacentral:lncRNA from 1 species
AGGUGUUUGGUUCUUCUUGGUGGUGAUUGGUGGUUUAUCCAUCUACAGUCAUGGAGUUUCUCUUUGUUGGUGACGGCUUAGAGUUUCUCUUUGGUUGUGGCGGUUAGGUUUCCUAUGUUUUAUUUUAUGCCGAAUGUGAGCUUUAUACCUCAUUGUGGGCUAUAUGCCUUUAUGUGGGCUAAAUGCUUUUAUGUUGGCUUUUGCAGUUUUAGUUUUUUUACUCGGAAUAUGAUCUUCAUGCUAUUCUGUGAUGGUUUAAGCUAGAUUUGUUCCUGUUGGUUUUCUAGCCGGUAUUUUUGCCCGGCUUUAUUUGUAAUGUUUUCUAUCUUUUUGGGGGUUUGCAAUGAAUUGAAACUUCGACCUUAAAAAAAAAGAA